CUAAGUUUGAUGGCGACCGGCGCACGGGUGAGUAACACGUAUCCAACCUGCCGAUGACUCGGGGAUAGCCUUUCGAAAGAAAGAUUAAUACCCGAUGGCAUAGUUCUCCGCAUGGUAGAACUAUUAAAGAAUUUCGGUUAUCGAUGGGGAUGCGUUCCAUUAGGCAGUUGGUGGGGUAACGGCCCACCAAACCUUCGAUGGAUAGGGGUUCUGAGAGGAAGGUCCCCCACAUUGGAACUGAGACACGGUCCAAACUCCUACGGGAGGCAGCAUG
rnacentral:rRNA from 1 species